UCAGUAACACGUAGUCAACAUGCCCAGAGGACGUGGAUAACCUCGGGAAACUGAGGAUAAACCGCGAUAGGUCAUGAUUUCUGGAAUGGUUUAUGGCUGAAAUCUAUAUGGCCUCUGGAUUGGACUGCGGCCGAUCAGGCUGUUGGUGAGGUAAUGGCCCACCAAACCUGUAACCGGUACGGGCUCUGAGAGGAGGAGCCCGGAGAUGGGCACUGAGACAAGGGCCCAGGCCCUAUGGGGCGCAGCAGGCGCGAAAUCUCUGCAAUAGGCGAAAGCUUGACAGGGUUACUCUGAGUGAUUCCCGCUAAGGGGAUCUUUUGGCACCUCUAAAAAUGGUGCAGAAUAAGGGGUGGGCAAGUCUGGUGCCAGCCGCC
rnacentral:rRNA from 1 species